UAUCCCAUCUGCGCCACAACGAGCCGGCGGCGACUCAAUCAAGCCAGACGUCUGUCCCUGCGCGCGGCUGCGACACGCAGACAUGCACGGCGCUCUGCUGUUCGUGCCGGUGGCGCUGGUGUCUGUGCUGCGGGCGCAGGUGGCGAACCAAGGCUGGGCGAUAGUCGAACAGCCAAGAUGCUGUUCGGACUGUACUUAUGUUUCAGCUGGUUUCAAGUGUAAACUGAAAAGCUGUGUAACUAAAUGUCCUUGGGCUCGAAGGCACUUCACUGCAGCUUUCGCAGCCCCUACUACUACAGCAUCUGAGCCCACAGUUCCGCUAUAUUGAAGAAGCCAUCGAAUUACAAAGCCAGAAGCAACAAAUUCAUGCCAGAAAAGAACUGUGUACACUCUUGAAUAAUUUGAAUAUAAUCGAGGAGAAGCAAGAAGACAGUUGAGAUACAUGCAAACACCAAAUUAGUCUCUGACUCAUGCACACACUUAAGGAAAAAAAAUGCAUGAAAAUAAUGGAAUAUUUUCAUGUUGAUCUCAAACACAUUUCCUCUGAAAAUAGAUGCGCAUGAAGUUACACGUGUCAAUUAAUGUUUACUGUACUGAAAUCCUUAUUAAACAAUUUUGACUAAA